GUGUGAUUCCAUCCUGCGCGGCCGUUGUGUGGAACAGUAGUUGUUUAUCUCCGUCCGCCUUCUCUUCCACCUAAGUGUGUGCCACCACCCCAUGGAAGAGUCGAUGGACAUGGACAUGAGCCCCCUGAGGCCCCAGAACUAUCUUUUCGGUUGUGAACUAAAGGCUGAUAAGGAUUAUCACUUUAAGGUGGAUAAUGAUGAAAAUGAGCACCAGUUAUCUUUAAGAACGGUCAGUUUAGGAGCUGGUGCAAAGGAUGAAUUGCACAUUGUUGAAGCAGAGGCAAUGAAUUAUGAAGGCAGUCCAAUUAAAGUCACACUGGCAACUUUGAAAAUGUCUGUACAGCCAACGGUUUCUCUUGGGGGCUUUGAAAUAACACCACCUGUGGUCUUACGGUUGAAAUGUGGUUCAGGGCCUGUGCAUAUUAGUGGACAGCACUUAGUAGCUGUGGAGGAAGAUGCAGAGUCAGAAGAUGAAGAGGAAGAGGACGUGAAACUCCUUAGUAUAUCCGGAAAGCGUUCUGCUCCUGGAAGUGGUAGCAAGGUUCCACAGAAAAAAGUAAAACUGAUGAAGAUGAUGAUGAAGAUGAUUUUGAUGAUGAGGAAGCUGAAGAAAAGGCUCCAGUAAAGAAAUCUAUAUGAGAUACUCCAGCCAAAAAUGCACAAAAAUCAAACCAGAAUGGAAAAGACUCAAAACCGUCAACACCAAGAACAAAAGGUCAAGAAUCUUUCAAAAAACAGGAAAAGACGCCCAAAACACCGAAAGGACCUAGUUCUGUAGAAGACAUUAAAGCAAAAAUGCAAGCAAGUAUAGAAAAAGGUGGUUCUCUUCCCAAAGUGGAAGCCAAGUUCAUCAAUUAUGUGAAGAAUUGCUUCCGGAUGACUGACCAAGAGGCUAUUCAAGAUCUCUGGCAGUGGAGGAAGUCUCUUUAAGAAAAUAGUUUAAACAGUUUGUUAAAAUUUUCCGUCUUAUUUCUUUUCUGUAACAGUUGAUAUCUGGUUGUCCUUUUUAUAAUGCAGAGUGAGAACUUUCCCUACCGUGUCUGAUAAAUGUUGUCCAGGUUCCAUUGCCAAGAAUGUGUUGUCCAAAAUGCCUGUUUAGUUUUUAAAGAUGGAACUCCACCCUUUGCUUGGUUUUAAGUAUGUACGGAAUGUUAUGAUAGGACAUAG